AUUGAACGCUGGCGGCAGGCCUAACACAUGCAAGUCGAACGGCAGCACAGUAAAGGUUUGCGCUUCGGGGAGGCGAGUGGCGGGCGGGUGAGGUGUACAUCGGAAUGUAUGUUGGCGUGGGGGAUCACGUAGGGAAACUUACGCUAAUAGCGCAUACGACCUACGCGUGAGAGCAGGGGAUCUUCGGACCUUGCGCGAGGAAAUGAGCCGAUGGCGGAUUAGCUAGUUGGCGGGGUAAAGGCCCACCAAGGCGACGAUCCGUAGCUGGUCUGAGAGGAUGAUCAGCCACACUGGAACUGAGACACGGUCCAGACUCCUACGGGAGGCAGCAGUGGGGAAUAUUGGACAAUGGGCGCAAGCCUGAUCCAGCCAUGCCGCGUGUGUGAAGAAGGCCUUCGGGUUGUAAAGCCCUUUUGUUGGGGAAGAAAAGCAGCAGGUUAAUACCCCGCUGUUCUGACGGUACCCGAAGAAUAAGCACCGGCUAACUUCGUG
rnacentral:rRNA from 1 species